UACGAAGGGGGCUAGCGUUGCUCGGAAUUACUGGGCGUAAAGCGCGUGUAGGCGGCUGGGUAGGUCCGCUGUGAAAUCCCAGGGCUCAACCCUGGGCGUGCAGUGGAUACGGGCAGGCUGGAGGCAGGCAGGGGAGAACGGAAUUCCCGGUGUAGCGGUGAAAUGCGUAGAGAUCGGAAAGAACACCAACGGCGAAAGCACUCUGCUGGGCCGACACUGACACUGAGAGACGAAAGCUAGGGGAGCGAAUGGG
rnacentral:rRNA from 1 species